CCUACGGUGGCAGCAGUGAGGAAUAUUGGUCAAUGGGCGCGAGCCUGAACCAGCCAAGUAGCGUGAAGGAUGACUGCCCUACGGGUUGUAAACUUCUUUUAAGGGGGAAGAGCAGAAGACGGUACCCCUUGAAUAAGCCACGGCUAACUACGUGCCAGCAGCCGCGGUAAUACGUAGGUGGCAAGCGUUGUCCGGAUUUACUGGGUGUAAAGGGCGUGCAGCCGGGCCGACAAGUCAGAUGUGAAAUCCGCGGGCUUAACCCGCGAACUGCAUUUGAAACUAUUGGUCUUGAGUACCGGAGAGGUCAUCGGAAUUCCUUGUGUAGCGGUGAAAUGCGUAGAUAUAAGGAAGAACACCAGUGGCGAAGGCGGAUGACUGGACGGCAACUGACGGUGAGGCGCGAAAGCGUGGGGAGCAAACAGGAUUAGAUACCCGAGUAGUC
rnacentral:rRNA from 1 species